rnacentral:rRNA from 1 species
CGCGUAGGUGGCUAAUUAAGUCAAAUGUUAAAUCCCCGAGCUUAACUUGGGAAUUGCAUUCGAUACUGGUUAGCUAGAGUAUGGGAGAGGAUGGUAGAAUUCCAGGUGUAGCGGUGAAAUGCGUAGAGAUCUGGAGGAAUACCGAUGGCGAAGGCAGCCAUCUGGCCUAAUACUGACGCUCAAAUGCGAAAGCGUGGGGAUCAAACAGGAUUAGAUACCCUGGUA